GAUAAAGAAUUUUAGAGAGAUGUGCCUUCGGGACCGUGAGACAGGUGCUGCAUGGCUGUCGUCAGCUCGUGUUGUGAAAUGUUGGGUUAAGUCCCGCAACGAGCGCAACCCUUAUCCUUUGUUGCCAGCGGUCCGGCCGGGAACUCAAAGGAGACUGCCAGUGAUAAACUGGAGGAAGGUGGGGAUGACGUCAAGUCAUCAUGGCCCUUACGACCAGGGCUACACACGUGCUACAAUGGCGCAUACAAAGAGAAGCGACCUCGCGAGAGCAAGCGGACCUCAUAAAGUGCGUCGUAGUCCGGAUUGGAGUCUGCAACUCGACUCCAUGAAGUCGGAAUCGCUAGUAAUCGUGGAUCAGAAUGCCACGGUGAAUACGUUCCCGGGUCUUGUACACACCGAG
rnacentral:rRNA from 1 species